CGGACGGGUGAGUAAUGUCUGGGAAACUGCCCGAUGGAGGGGGAUAACUACUGGAAACGGUAGCUAAUACCGCAUAACGUCGCAAGACCAAAGAGGGGACCUUAGGGCCUCUUGCCAUCGGAUGUGCCCAGAUGGGAUUAGCUAGUAGGUGGGGUAACGGCUCACCUAGGCGACGAUCCCUAGCUGGUCUGAGAGGAUGACCAGCCACGCUGGAACUGAGACACGGUCCAG
rnacentral:rRNA from 1 species